CCUACGGGCGGCUGCAGUGGGGAAUAUUGGACAAUGGGCGAAAGCCUGAUCCAGCCAUGCCGCGUGUGUGAAGAAGGCCUUCGGGUUGUAAAGCACUUUCAGUGGGGAAGAAAGCCUUGGGGCUAAUACCCUCGAGGAAGGACAUCACCCACAGAAGAAGCACCGGCUAACUCCGUGCCAGCAGCCGCGGUAAUACGGAGGGUACGAGCGUUAAUCGGAAUUACUGGGCGUAAAGCGCGCGUAGGCGGUCUGAUAAGCCGGUUGUGAAAGCCCCGGGCUCAACCUGGGAACGGCAUCCGGAACUGUCAGGCUAGAGUGCAGGAGAGGAAGGUAGAAUUCCCGGUGUAGCGGUGAAAUGCGUAGAGAUCGGGAGGAAUACCAGUGGCGAAGGCGGCCUUCUGGACUGACACUGACGCUGAGGUGCGAAAGCGUGGGUAGCAAACAGGAUUAGAUACCCUAGUAGUC
rnacentral:rRNA from 1 species